AUGCUUUUCAAGUUGAAAAGCAGAUAUAGAGAGAUAAACCAUGGAAUUAUCACUGUAAUUGCAAAGGUGCCUGAUGCUGAUAGGAUUCAAAAAUUUAGAUCAAUUUGUUUGUUAAAUGUCAGCUACAAGACACUAACCAAAGUUGUAGCUGAUAGAUUGGGACUGGUUAUUAGUUGUGUUGUUAGGAAUACCCAAACUAUUUUUGUUAAAGGCAGAUAUAGCAUGGAGGGUGUGAUGGUGCUUCAUGAGAUCAUACAUGAGUUGCAUCACACCAAUCAAUCUGGGUUAUCAUUGAAAAUUGACUUUGAAAAAGCUUAUGACAUGAUUAAAUGGUCUUUUCUUUACCAAAUGAUACAGAAAAAAGGGAUGCGACAUAAUUGGUGUGAUUGGGUGACGAAAACUGUUAGGGGAGGCAAGGUUGCUAUCAAAGUGAAUGACCAUGUGGGGCCUUAUUUCUCUACUCACAAAGGAGUCAGAGAAGGAGAUCCCCUGGCUCCUCUACUUUUUGACAUAGUUGUUGAUGGGUUAGCUUUGUUGAUUAAGCAAGCACAAUAG
rnacentral:rRNA from 1 species